AUUGAACGCUGGCGGCAGGCCUAACACAUGCAAGUCGAGCGGGGACUUCGGUCCUAGCGGCGAACGGGUGAGUAAUGCUUGGGAAUCUGUCCAGUAGUGGGGGAUAACGUCCCGAAAGGGACGCUAAUACCGCAUACGUCCUACGGGAGAAAGAGGGGGAUCUUCGGACCUCUCGCUAUUGGAUGAGCCCAAGUCGGAUUAGCUAGUUGGUAGGGUAAUGGCCUACCAAGGCGACGAUCCGUAGCUGGUCUGAGAGGAUGAUCAGCCACACUGGAACUGAGACACGGUCCAGACUCCUACGGGAGGCAGCAGUGGGGAAUAUUGGACAAUGGGCGAAAGCCUGAUCCAGCCAUGCCGCGUGUGUGAAGAAGGCCUUCGGGUUGUAAAGCACUUUAAGCGGGGAGGAAGGUUCGCGGCCUAAUACGUCGCGGAAUUGACGUUACCCGCAGAAUAAGCACCGGCUAACUCUGUG
rnacentral:rRNA from 1 species